GACCUGAUGGUGUAGUGGUAACAUGCCUGCUGAAUUUGAACUGUAUGGAAUGUAGAUAAGUAGGAAGCCCUGGUUCGAACCCGGGUCAGGUCA